rnacentral:lncRNA from 1 species
AAAAAGGGCCCAAAUAAGCAUUAUUCUUGGUUUUCGCACAAUAACUUUAGUUUAAGUAAAUAGAAAUCAAUGAAAUUUAAACACAAUGUUAAUGACUACAAAAGGAAGGUUGGUAUUGAUUUUGGGAGUUUAGGUCCCAACAGUUUAGGAAUUAGGGGCCAAAAAGGGACCAAAUAAGCAUUUUUCUUGGUUUUCGCACCAUAACGUUAGUAUAAGUAAAUAGAAAUCUAUGAAAUUUAAACACAAGGUUUAUGACCAUAAAAGGAAGGUUGGUAUUGAUUUUGGGAGUUUUGGUCCCAACAGAAUAAGGGGCCCAAAGGGUCCAAAAUUAAACUUUGUUUGAUUUCAUCCAAAUUGAAUAAUUGGGGUUCUUCGAUAUGCCGAAUCUAACUGUCAUGACUGUGUAUGUAGAUUCUUAACUUUUGGUCCCGUUUUCAAAUUUGUCUACAUUAAGGUCCAAAGGGUCCAAAAUUAAACUUAGUUUGAUUUUGACAAAAAAUGAAUCAGUUAGGUUCUUUGAUAUGCUGAAUCUAAAAAUGUACUUAGAUUCUUGAUUAUUGGCCCAGUUUUCAAGUUGGUCCAAAUCGGGGUCCAAAAUUAAACUUUUGUUUGAUUUCAUCAUCAAAAAUUGAAUAAAUGGGGUUCUUUGAUAUACCAAAUCUAACUGUGUAUGUAGAUUCUUCAUUUUUGGUCCUGUUUUCAAAUUGGUCUACACUUAAGUCCAAAGGGUCAAAAAUUAAACUUAGUCUGAUUUUAACAAAAAUUGAAAUC